CCUACGGGAGGCAGCAGUGGGGAAUAUUGGGCAAUGGAGGCAACUCUGACCCAGCAACGCCGCGUGAAUGAUGAAGGUCUUCGGAUUGUAAAGUUCUGUGAUGGGGGAUGAACACAAUGACGGUACCCCAAUAGCAAGCCACGGCUAACUACGUGCCAGCAGCCGCGGUAAUACGUAGGUGGCAAGCGUUAUCCGGAAUGACUGGGCGUAAAGGGUGCGUAGGUGGUUUAGUAAGUUGGCGGGGUAAUUCCUGGGCUCAACCUCGGCGCUACCGCCAAAACUAUUAGACUAGAGUGCAGGGGGGGUAAGUGGAAUUCCUAGUGUAGCGGUGGAAUGCGUAGAUAUUAGGAGGAACAUCAGGGGCGAAGGCGACUUACUGGACUGUAACUGACGCUGAGGCACGAAAGCGUGGGGAGCAAACAGGAUUAGAUACCCCAGUAGUC
rnacentral:rRNA from 1 species